GUGGAUUAGAUACCCUGGUAGUCCGCACCGUAAACGAUGGAUACUCGCUGCCGGCGAUACACAGUCGGUGGCCACGCGAAAGCCUUAAGUAUCCCACCUGGGGAGUACGCCGGCAACGGUGAAACUCAAAGGAAUUGACGGGGGCCCGCACAAGCGGAGGAACAUGUGGUUUAAUUCGAUGAUACGCGAGGAACCUUACCCGGGCUUGAACUAUGGUGGACCGUUCCAGAGAUGGAUCUUCCCUUCGGGGCCGCCAUGGAGGUGCUGCACGGUUGUCGUCAGCU
rnacentral:rRNA from 1 species